UGCACAUAUGCAGGAGCUCGGCGGAUAUCAUACAUAUUUGAGGUUGUAGGGCGAGAAUUUUUCAUGGAUAUUGGAGGUUGGGCGAGAUUUUGGCCCUUAUAUGGAUAUUUGGAGGUUUUCACCCGAUAUCCACCGAGUUCUGAGCAGAUUAUCGAACUUUCCGAAAGCUUAGAUGAGACUUAUAUAUACCAAAAUAAGCAGGUAAAGGUAAAGAUGUAGGUAAAGGGGCUCUAUUCCUUGGAUUGGAUUCUGGAACCAUAAGUUCAUUAGAUCCAGCAACCACGAAAUUAGUUUAGAACAUUUCAAAUUUCCAAUGAAUACAGUACAUGACAAACCUGUAGAGCUCAGGAGAUGAACACAUACGUAAAUUCGUAACCCACUCAAGAUCCCAGAUUUCCAAAAGUUUACCUCUUUAAUGUCAUGAAGUCAUGAAAUAAAUCCUUGAAUAAUGUUCU